AUUGAACGCUGGCGGCAGGCCUAACACAUGCAAGUCGAACGCGUGGCGGACGGGUGAGUAAUGUCUGGGGAACUUUCUGCUGGAGGGGGAUAACUAAUGGAAAAGGUAGUUCAUACCGCACACCCUAUGCUGUGUCCAGAUGGGAUUAGCUUGUUGGUGGGGUAACGUCUCACCAAGGCGACGAUCCCCCGCUGUUCUGAGAGGAUGACCAGCCAAACUGGAACUGAGAAACGGUCCAGACUCCUACGGGAGGCAGCAGUGGGGAAUAUUGCACAAUGGGCGCAAGCCUGAUGCAGCCAUGCCGCGUGUAUGAAGAAGGCCUUCGGGUUGUAAAGUACUUUCAGCGGGGAGGCGUUACCCGCAGAAGAAGCACCGGCUAACUCCGUGCCAGCAGCCGCGGUAAUUC
rnacentral:rRNA from 1 species